UGGGGAAUAUUGCACAAUGGGGGAAACCCUGAUGCAGCCAUGCCGCGUGUAUGAAGAAGGCCUUCGGGUUGUAAAGUACUUUCAGUUGUGAGGAAGGCUUGAUAGUUAAUAGCUAUCAGGUUUGACGUUAGCAACAGAAGAAGCACCGGCUAACUCCGUGCCAGCAGCCGCGGUAAUACGGAGGGUGCGAGCGUUAAUCGGAAUUACUGGGCGUAAAGCGCAUGCAGGCGGCUUGUUAAGCAAGAUGUGAAAGCCCGGGGCUUAACCUCGGAACCGCAUUUUGAACUGGCAGGCUAGAGUCUUGUAGAGGGGGGUAGAAUUUCAGGUGUAGCGGUGAAAUGCGUAGAGAUCUGAAGGAAUACCGGUGGCGAAGGCGGCCCCCUGGACAAAGACUGACGCUCAGAUGCGAAAGCGUGGGGAGCAAACAGGAUUAGAUACCCCCGUAGUCC
rnacentral:rRNA from 1 species